GCGCCUCGCGGUACAUAUACUAAAAUUGGAACGAUACAGAGAAGAUUAGCAUGGCCCCUGCGCAAGGAUGACACGGUUGAAGUGGAGCUGUGGUGGAGUAAA
rnacentral:snRNA from 1 species